AUCCAAAGUGUUGAGUUCAGUUCAGGGCAGCUUCCCUGUUCUGUUAAUUAAACUUUGGAACAUUAAAAUUGAGGAAGGUAAGGGCUGAGGGCGCCUUGGUAGUGAGACCUGGGCGACCUUUUGAAGU
rnacentral:snoRNA from 1 species